CCUAAUUCCCAAAUCCUAGUAACCCUAACCCUAAUGUUUUCCUUUCCUCAGUCUCUGAACGCAGCCUCCACCCCCCUUUCUUCCUAAACACAACACACAAACAAAAGAAAGAAACGCAGAGAGAAAGAGCACGAAGAGCAGAGAAAAGAGAGACGGAAGGGAUGCUGCUCCGCUGCCGCCAUGACGUGACCGCCGGACCGCCGUCAUCGUCAGCGUUCCCCAACCUUGCCCGGACUGCAGCGCCUCCUGUCGGCCGUCCGUGGAGCUGCGAAGAGUAUCGCCGUCGAAGUCACACCAUCGCAGAAGGAACGAGGGGAGGGAGAUGAGCCCGAACCAGGGGCGGGAGGAAGAAGGCGUCGCUGUGGCUCCCGUUGCCGUCGCCGUUCGUGCUCUGUCGUCGCUGCCGUUCCAUGGAGACGCGUCGCCAUCGCUGAGUGAUGGAGGAAAAGGACGCACGAGAGGAGCCGCUGCUGCUGGGUUGCUGUUCUGCCACCGUCGCUGUCACGUGAUGGAGGAGGAAGUUGCUCUGCCACCAUCUGAGCUUGCUGUUGCAAAUGCCUAUACCGCUGCCGUAGUUUCUUCGUUCUGUUAUUACUUUCUAAUUGUUAUGCCCUCGGCGCUGCCACUAGAAGGUCGUCGGGGUUAGUUAGAGCUGCCGUUCUGAUUCUGCCGCAGCUUGUCCGUGUUCCUGCUCGUCCCUGUUCUCCGUUCAGCCUUCGCCAGAGCACUGUCAUCGGAGAAACACUACUGAAACCGGGCCAGAUUCACCGGUAAUGCUACUUAUUGUGGUUGCUGCUGUUCUGAUCUCUGUGGGUUCGACAUUGAGUGAUACAGGUUCGAAGACUCAGUUUGAAGCUGCGGGCGAUUGUUAGACCUUAUUUAUGAGUUAAGUUUAUGAAUUGAGUUGCUUUCAUAGAAUUCCCUCGCCUUUGUUGUUUAAGAUUUUAUUUUAUAAAGAGGGAUAGGAGUUGUAUCUAAGUUACACUUGAAUUUGUUUGUAUAAUAUUUACUAAUAAUUAUAUGAUUAUUAUUAUUUGGUGA